ensembl:misc_RNA Metazoa_SRP Metazoan signal recognition particle RNA
GCCGGGCAUGGUGGCUCAUGCCUGUAAUCCUAGCACUUUGGGAGGCUGAGGCGGGAGGAUCGCUUGAGCCCAGGAGUUUUUGGCUGCAGUGAGCUAUGAUCAUGCCACUGCACUCCAGCCUGAGCAACAGAGAAAGACCCUGUCUCUAAAAAAAAUUAAAACUGUCCGGGAGAGGUGGCUCACGCCUGUAAUCCCAGCACUUUGGGAGGCUGAGGUGGGCGGAUCACCUGAGGUCUGGAGUUCAAGACCAGCCUGGCCAACAUGGUGAAACCCCAUCUCU